rnacentral:misc_RNA from 1 species
UUCCUUAUUCAUAUGGUUUCUCCUCCAUUGGCAAUACUGCAUAUACUCGUGGAAGUUCUCUUCGUAUUCUUUUGUUCUUUUUAAACCUUAUCGAACACUUCUAUGAAAGGAGCUUGUAUAGUGGUGCUUUAGUGUAGUUGAUGGUUUUUGGUAUUUCGUUACUCGUUUCAUAGGUAUCAGAAUUUCUCAACUUGUUUAAAAAGCCUGACUAACAAGCAAGUCACAAUCAAUAUGUCAUUAUCUAGCUUUAGGUUUUGAUGGGUAAGUAUCAAACCAUAAAGUUGGAGGGAUAGACUUUGAUCUUUUUAUAUUAAGGUUGGGCUUGAGCAAUGGGAAUUUCAACACAUUUGGUUAGAGAUGUUCUAACCUGGGUCCUGAAGAUUAGCACAUUUGGGAACGCUGGAAUUCUGGUUCAACUUGUGGUUCUAUCAGAUUUUUGGUGGUUGGUUUCAGGCCUAGGCUCCAUGUCUUCCAUCGCCAUUUCUUAUGGGGAGAAUGGCCCCGUUUUUUGUGGCUUAAAGUCAGAUGGGUCUCAUCUUGUGACAUGUUAUGGUUCUAAUUCUGCUAUAAUCUAUGGUACUCCAGCGCGUUUCCCUUUUAUUGGCUUAACUGCUGGUGAUGGUUUUGUUUGUGGGCUUCUAAUGGGAUCUAACCAGCCAUAUUGUUGGGGAAGUAGCGGUUAUAUUCCAAUGGGUGUUCCUCAGCCUAUGGUCAAAGAGGCUGAAUACAUAGAAAUCAGUGCAGGUGAUUACCAUUUAUGCGGUUUGAGAAAGCCAUUAACAGGCAGGCACAGAAACUAUUCUCUUGUUGAUUGUUGGGGUUAUAACAUGACCAAGAACAAUGUGUUUGAUGGACAGAUUCAAUCAAUCUCGGCUGGUUCUGAGUUUAACUGUGGGUUGUUGUCUCAGAAUAGGAGUGUUUUUUGUUGGGGUGAUGAGACUAGUAGCCAUGUGAUAAGCUUAAUUCCUGAACAGAUGAGGUUUCAAAGGAUUGCAGCUGGUGGAUAUCACGUUUGUGGGAUUUUAGAGCUGAAUUCUAGAGCCUUUUGUUGGGGAAGAAGCUUGGACCUUGAGGAAGAGAUCUCUGUGGCAUAUUCAGGUCAAGGAAAUGUGGAUUUGCCUCCAAGUGAUCCAAUGCUUUCUGUUGUGGGAGGAAAGUUCCAUGCUUGUGGAAUCAAGAGCUAUGACCAUGGGGUGAUUUGUUGGGGUUUUAUUGUAAAGCCAAGCACUCCAGCUCCUAGUGGCAUUAAGGUCUAUGAAAUUGCUGCUGGAAAUUAUUUCACUUGUGGAAUUCUUGCUGAAAAAUCUCUAUUGCCUGUUUGCUGGGGUCUUGGGUUCCCUAGCUCACUGCCUUUGGCAGUCUCUCCAGGACUUUGCAGAACUACUCCUUGCACACCUGGUUCCUACGAAUUUAACGAUGAUAAAACACCCUGCAAGUCUCCCAAUUCUCAUGUCUGUUUGCCUUGCAGUAAUGGUUGCCCAGCUGAAAUGUACCAGAAAACUGAAUGCACUUUGAAAUCAGAUCGUCAGUGUGAUUAUAAUUGUUCAAGUUGUUAUUCAGCAGAAUGCUUCUCAAAUUGUUCUGCCUUGUAUUCUGAUGCUGCUAAAGGAAAGGACGACAGGUUUUGGUCAUUGCAAUUGCCAGUCAUCAUUGUGGAGAUUGGCUUUGCUGUUUUCUUGGUGAUUGUUGUAUCUGCAACUGCAAUUUUGUAUGUUCGCUACCGAUUGAGGAAUUGCCAGUGCUCAGAAAAGGGAUCAAAAUCCAAGAAAAACAAAGGCGGUGGUGCUUCAUUUCCUAAAGACAAUGGAAAGAUCCGCCCUGACUUGGAUGAGCUUAAAAUAAGGAGGGCCCAGAUGUUCUCUUAUGAGGACCUUGAGAGGGCCACCAAUGGAUUCAAAGAAGAAUCCCUAGUGGGGAAAGGAAGUUUUUCAUGUGUUUAUAAAGGGGUAUUGAAGCAUGGAACAGUAGUUGCCGUUAAAAAGGCUAUAGUCUCGUCUGAUAAGCAGAAGAACUCGAAAGAAUUCCACACUGAGCUCGAUCUAUUAUCAAGGUUAAACCAUGCCCAUUUGCUCAAUCUGCUUGGCUAUUGUGAAGAAGGUGGAGAAAGGCUUACGGUUUGAGUUCAUGGCUCUUGGUUCCUUGCACCAACAUCAUCAUGUGAAGAACAAGGCACUAAAAGAAUAGCUAGACUUAUGUUUAUUUAAUAUUAAUUUUCUUAUUAUAAAUUAAAAUUUUUUAAUGAUUAUAUUUGUUUAUUUAAUUUUUUAAUGAUAAUAUUUUAAUAUUUAAAUGUUAGUGGUGCUUUUGUUUUUUUGACAUAAGUUAGUGGUGCUUAAUAUGUUAAUAUAUUUAAAUUUGGUGGUGCCUAAUAUGAUAGGGUAUUAAUAUGUGAUGGAUUGCAGCUUAAUCCGACCGACCAACUAGCAAAUUACCAUUUCGGGUUGGGUCAGUUUUAUUUACACAUCUAUUUAAAUUAAUUUAAGAAGGAUAACCAAAGCGACCCGUGAAAAACCCUAGCCAGAACCAAUAAUUCAGAUUUAGUGUACGAGAUAUUAGGACCGAACUAGCUAAAGACAAUUCCUAUUAAUUUCAAUAUAGGCUAAUUUGAUUCCAUAAAGAAGUGGCCAGUUUUUUUUUAAACUAUUUUUUAAAUAAAAAAUAAAAAUUGUAUAUUUUGAAUUAAAAUUAAUAUGUAUUCUUUUAUCAUGAAGGAAUAAUAAUAUGUGUAAAUAAAUAUUGGAGAAAAAAUAUUGAAGGAUGCAUUUUUUAAAUUUGAAAUUUAUUGUAUAUGUAUGAUCCAAUUACGACGAGAGAAAAAGAACUAAAACGAGUGAAAACAUUUUGGCAAUCACCUAGAGCAACUUUUCUUCUUUAGAAAUGGCUCCAGGUCCCGCUUGCCUUGUGGAUAUCAGAAUAGGGUCCCGCUUACCUUAUGGAUAUCAGAAUAGGGUCCCCCUUUGACAAUGAUUAUAGGUCAAGGCCUUUAGGCUACUUUAGGUCUUUGCUACACAAGAUCUAUUCAAGUUUAACCUUGAAGUCAUCCUUUAAGAGACCUAUGGAUCUUCAUUUAAUGUCAGAGCUUCUAAGAAGGGUCAUUUCAUUCUCACCUUAGCUUGGUCCAUAGGUUAACUUGGUUGAGAUCCUUGCAAAAACGACUGAAGGAUCUUGUUACAUUAAAUCUACCUCAAUUUGGGGCAUUCUUAAAAAGAGGAACACCAAUAAGCUUAAGGACCCUUCUGUGCUUUAGUUAUCAACCUAGGAACUCUUUUAUGCCUCAUUGAUUGCCUUAUAGAGUCUUUAAAGGUUGAAGGCUUGAAACCUUGCCACACUAGACUUUUCUUCCCCAAAACUUCAAGCUUAUAUAUAAUGAACCAACUAGGAGCACCUCCCUAUUUGGAAAUCAACCCAAGAGAUCCUUUCCAUAAUAGGAAUCGACUUAAAGCCCUUUCUGUAUUUUUUCUAUCACUCUAGGGUGCCUCUAACUAGGAUUCAGAAUUUUGCAAAACCAAACUUUUCUUUGCCUCAAACUUUAGGAAUUUAGAGAACAAUUAAACAAAGGUCUCAUUCCCUAUGAGAAUCGAUCCAAGGGCCUUUCUCGCUCAUAUGAAUUGGCCAAAUGUACUCUUUUCCAUAUGAGAACUGGCCAUAACUAAUUUCGUGGUAUUGUAAUUGACCAAGGUUUCUUUCUUUAAUCUAAUAGUCUAGUUUGAACCCUAUUAUAAGACCUUAUGUCUAAUUCCUCCCCGUAUUACUCCUACUCUUGUAUUUAAUCCUAGUGUCAGUAGAUUAUUAUCAUAUAAUCACUAGAGGUUAUCCUUAUGCCUUUGACCCUUCAAAAUUAUCUAUAAAAGGCACCAAGGGAGGGAAGGUUUAGGGUUAGCAAUUUAACAUAUAUAGAUACAUAUUUCACAUUUCUAGGACAAAGACUAAUACUAUGCUAAACCUAGGUCUAAAAUCAAUCCACGCAUUAAUCCUUAACUUUUGGGUUGGUGUUCAUUCUUAUUCUAUCUGGUCUACAAUUAAAGGUAUGUUUUGAGAGCAAAAAUCUUGUCUAUUUUUUCCACCUGUUUAUGUUUCAUUUUUCAUUUAUUAUAGUUGCUACUUUGUGUGUGUGAGAGUUGGAGGACCUUGAGAGCUUUAUGCAUAAGGUUCUCUCGUGUCUCAAUAAUCUUCACGUUCAUUUCGUUUAUAUUUUUAAUUUGUUACCACUCUCUUAACAUCAGUAACUUUAUUUCCUUGAACAUAAGCAACUCUCACUACCUUAUAGUCGUUUGUUUUCGAAUCAGACCCAAAACUGAGAAUAAACCUAUAGCAGCCAAUGCGGUCGAAGAUGACACAUGGUUAAGGAGCAAAACAUAGCAUUUAGUAAGCGGGCUCCAGGGAAUAACAAUCCUGGUUAUACCAAAAAGAUCAUCAGAGAGUCAGAGGAGGCCAUAGAGAGAGAUAUGGGUGGAGAUGAAUAAUGGCUAGUGAUGGGAGAGCAGCAUUGCUUACAGACACACGUGCACGAGCAGGGAUGGAUCUAGACAUUUAUAUUAGUGGGGCAAUAUAUAUAUACACUCUUGUAUGCGUGCAAACACACGCACAUGUGUGUGCAUGCAUGUCUAUAUAUGUGUUGAAAAUGUUCAUAAUUAUUUUAUGU